GAUGAACGCUGGCGGCGUGCCUAAUACAUGCAAGUCGAGCGAACGGACGAGAAGCUUGCCUCUCUGAUGUUAGCGGCGGACGGGUGAGUAACACGUGGAUAACCUACCUAUAAGACUGGGAUAACUUCGGGGAACCGGAUCUAAUACCGGAUGAUAUUUUGAACCGCAUGGUUCAACAGUGAAAGACGGUCUUGCUGUCACUUAUAGAUGGAUCCACGCUGCAUUAGCUAGUUGGUAAGGUAACGGCUUACCAAGGCAACGAUGCAUAGCCGACCUGAGAGGGUGAUCGGCCACACUGGAACUGAGACACGGUCCAGACUCCUACGGGAGGCAGCAGUAGGGAAUCUUCCGCAAUGGGCGAAAGCCUGACGGAGCAACGCCGCGUGAGUGAUGAAGGUCUUCGGAUCGUAAAACUCUGUUAUUAGGGAAGAACAUAUGUGUAAGUAACUGUGCACAUCUUGACGGUACCUAAUCAGAAAGCCACGGCUAACUACGUG
rnacentral:rRNA from 1 species